rnacentral:lncRNA from 1 species
GAGUUUUUUAUGUUCAAAUGAAUGGCCAUAAUUUCAGAUAGAAGGUCUUACUUUCCCCGUGACGGUUCAUUAUAAUAAGAAAACUGAAGAAGAUUAUUUGACUGCCGCAUACAACAAAAUCUGCAAGAUACACAGACAGCUUCCUGACGGAGAAAUACUCGUCUUCCUCACAGGUCAACAGGAAGUUAAUUUGUUGUGCCGCAAGCUGCGCGCAACCUUCCCAGCCACCAGCCUGCCGGACACUGAGCAGUGAGCAACCUUACGAUAGAGACGCCACCGAAUACAGAAAACGUUUGAACAAUCUGAAAAAGCAACGCUCAGCUAAGAAAGAACUGCUUUUGAAACAAGCUGCCGAAAAAGAAGCAGAAGCUGAGAAUGCUGCUCUGCUCACCAAGAAACUUCUCGAGGUCAACGUGCACGAAUUCGCUGCUGCAGCUUCGGUGUUUCCAGACAACGAAAAUAAAGCCAACGAAGGCGACGAUAUUGAGGACGGCGAUGUUACUGAAACAUCCAAGUCGAAUGAAGAACAAAACCGAGAAGAAGUUCCGUCCGACGAUGACUUUGAUUUGGGCGAGAACGCUGACGAAGAUAAGCUUGGCGACGAUGAGAAGAAGGGCGUGGGCAACGAGCAGCCACUGCACGUGUUGCCUCUCUACUCACUCCUGCCUGCUGAUCGUCAGA